rnacentral:rRNA from 1 species
GUGAGGAAUAUUGGUCAAUGGACGAGAGUCUGAACCAGCCAAGUAGCGUGAAGGAUGACUGCCCUAUGGGUUGUAAACUUCUUUUAUAGGGGAAUAAAAUGCACCACGCGCUGGUGUUUUGUAUGUACCCUACGAAUAAGGAUCGGCUAACUCCGUGCCAGCAGCCGCGGUAAUACGGAGGAUCCGAGCGUUAUCCGGAUUUAUUGGGUUUAAAGGGUGCGCAGGCGGACUGAUAAGUCAGCUGUGAAAGUUUACGGCUCAACCGUGAAAUUGCAGUUGAAACUGUCAGUCUUGAGUACACAUGAGGUGAGCGGAAUUUGUGGUGUAGCGGUGAAAUGCUUAGAUAUCACAAGGAACUCCAAUUGCGAAGGCAGCUCACUGGGGUGUAACUGACGCUCAUGCACGAAGGUGUGGGUAUCAAACAGGAUUAGAAACCCUUGUAGUCC